AAUUCAGAUUGGGUAAUUGCUGUCUUAGGAUUUAAGAUGGAGGAAAGUCCGAACUCCAUAGAACAGGGUGCCGGGUAACGCCCGGGGUUCUGCUUCAUUAGAAGCGGGAUACGGAAAGUGCCACAGAAAAGAUACCGCCCGCCUCAAAAAAAGGCGGGUAAGGGUGAAAAGGCAGGGUAAAAGCCUACCGCUCCUGUAGUAAUACAGGAGGCAGGGUAAACCCCACCCGGAGCAAGAUCAAAUAGGGAAAGCUUUCCACGCGCUCGUAUAUGUGGUGUGUGGGACAGGGUUGUUCGCUUUGAAUGCUUUCCGGGUAGAUCGCUUGAAUAGCGGAGCAAUUCGUUAUCCAGAUAAAUAAUUACCACCUGCCCCACAUAAGGCGGGUACAAAAUUCGGCUUAUAGAUUUGGAUUACUC
rnacentral:RNase_P_RNA from 1 species